UACAGAGGGUGCGAGCGUUGUCCGGAAUCACUGGGCGUAAAGGGCGCGUAGGUGGCGCUCCAAGUCUGUGGUGAAAGCUCGACGCUCAACGUCGAGUCGGCCAUAGAGACUGGAGGGCUCGAGCACUGUAGGGGCAGAUGGAAUUCCGGGUGUAGCGGUGGAAUGCGUAGAGAUCCGGAAGAACACCGGUGGCGAAGGCGGUCUGCUGGGCAGUUUCUGACACUGAGGCGCGACAGCGUGGGGAGCAAACAGG
rnacentral:rRNA from 1 species